UGGGGAGUCGCCAAGCUGGUAAGGCACGGGACUUUGGAUCCCGUAUGCGCAGGUUCGAGUCCUGCCUCCCCAGCCA
rnacentral:tRNA from 1 species